rnacentral:rRNA from 1 species
AAUCAACGCUGGCGGCGUGCCUCAGACAUGCAAGUCGAACGAUUAAAGCUCUCUUCGGAGAGUGUAUAGAGUGGCGCACGGGUGAGUAACACGUAAGUAAUCUACCCUCGAGUGGGGAAUAACAACCGGAAACGGUUGCUAAUACCGCAUAAUGCAGCGGCACCGCAAGGUGACAGUUGUUAAAGAUUUAUCGCUUGAGGAGGAGCUUGCGGCAGAUUAGCUAGUUGGUAGGGUAACGGCUUACCAAGGCUACGAUCUGUAACCGGUCUAAGAGGACGGUCGGUCACACUGACACUGAAUAACGGGUCAGACUCCUACGGGAGGCAGCAGUCGGGAAUUUUGGGCAAUGGGCGAAAGCCUGACCCAGCAACGCCGCGUGAAGGAUGAAGUAUUUCGGUAUGUAAACUUCGAAAGAAUAGGAAGAAUUAAUGACGGUACUAUUUAUAAGGUCCGGCUAACUACGUGCCAGCAGCCGCGGUAAGAGUCACGUCG